rnacentral:rRNA from 1 species
ACACACGGAUAACAUACCGAAAGGUAUGCUAAUACGGGAUAAUAUAUUUGAGAGGCAUCUCUUAAAUAUCAAAGGUGAGCCAGUACAGGAUGGACCCGCGUCUGAUUAGCUAGUUGGUAAGGUAACGGCUUACCAAGGCGACGAUCAGUAGCCGACCUGAGAGGGUGAUCGGCCACAUUGGAACUGAGACACGGUCCAAACUCCUACGGGAGGCAGCAGUGGGGAAUAUUGCACAAUGGGCGAAAGCCUGAUGCAGCAACGCCGCGUGAGUGAUGAAGGCCUUCGGGUCGUAAAACUCUGUCCUCAAGGAAGAUAAUGACGGUACUUGAGGAGGAAGCCCCGGCUAACUACGUGCCGGCAGCCGCGGUAAUACGUAGGGGGCUAGCGUUAUCCGGAUUUACUGGGCGUAAAGGGUGCGUAGGCGGUCUUUCAAGUCAGGAGUGAAAGGCUACGGCUCAAUCGUAGUAAGCUCUUGAAACUGGGAGACUUGAGUGCAGGAGAGGAGAGUGGAAUUCCUAGUGUAGCGGUGAAAUGCGUAGAUAUUAGGAGGAACACCAGUUGCGAAGGCGGCUCUCUGGACUGUAACUGACGCUGAGGCACGAAAGCGUGGGGAGCAAACAGGAUUAGAUACCCUGGUAGUCCACGCUGUAAACGAUGAGUACUAGGUGUCGGGGGUUACCCCCUUCGGUGCCGCAGCUA